ACGGGAGGCAGCAGUGGGGAAUAUUGCACAAUGGGCGCAAGCCUGAUGCAGCGACGCCGCGUGAGUGAAGAAGUAUUUCGGUAUGUAAAGCUCUAUCAGCAGGAAAGAAAAUGACGGUACCUGACUAAGAAGCCCCGGCUAACUACGUGCCAGCAGCCGCGGUAAUACGUAGGGGGCAAGCGUUAUCCGGAUUUACUGGGUGUAAAGGGAGCGUAGACGGUUUUGCAAGUCUGAAGUGAAAUGCCGGGGCUCAACCCCGGAACUGCUUUGGAAACUGUAGAACUAGAGUGCAGGAGAGGUAAGUGGAAUUCCUAGUGUAGCGGUGAAAUGCGUAGAUAUUAGGAGGAACACCAGUGGCGAAGGCGGCCUGCUGGACGACAACUGACGCUGAGGCGCGAAAGCGUGGGGAGCAAACAGGAUUAGAUACCCUGGUA
rnacentral:rRNA from 1 species